rnacentral:rRNA from 1 species
CCUACGGGUGGCAGCAGUGAGGAAUAUUGGUCAAUGGGCGAGAGCCUGAACCAGCCAAGCCGCGUGAAGGAAGAAUGUACAGCGUGUCGUAAACCUCUUUUAUCAGGGAACACAGGCGGGGACUAGUCCCCUGAUGAGGGUACCUUACGAAAAAGCAUCGGCUAACUCCGUGCCCGCAGCCGCGGUAAUACGGAGGAUGCGAGCGUUAUCCGGAUUUAUUGGGGUUAAAGGGUGUGCAGGCGGUCUUUUAAGUCAGCGGUAAAAACCCGGGGCUCAACCACGGCGAGCCGUUGAAAAUGGCUGUCUGGAGUUGGAGAGAGGUACGCGGAAUGCGUGGUGUAGCGGUGAAAUGCUUAGAUAUCGCGCAGAACCCCGAUUGCGAAGGCAGCGUACCGGCUCCAAACUGACGCUGAGGCACGAAAGCGUGGGUAUCGAACAGGAUUAGAUACCCCUGUAGUC